rnacentral:misc_RNA from 1 species
ACACCUCAACUCUCAUGGUCCGCCGUGAUGAGCUUGGACUUUGGGGGUCUUGCCGGCCUAGCGUCGGCUCCUCUCAAACGGAUCAGCCUGCCAGUGUUUGGUGGCAUCACAGGUGUGAUAACUAUCUACGCUUGUGGUUUCCUACCAUGUAACCUUCAGCAAUGGGGGUUCGCUGGAGCUCACAGAUGUCCCUUCCUUUGUGAGGACAGCCUUUUGAAC